rnacentral:lncRNA from 1 species
AGUUUACAUAGUUCCAAGGAACUACACAGUGCUCCAGGUUAGCUUUAGUAUAACAAUGGCCACCUAUUAAUUUCUGAAUUAGAAAUUAUAUUCAUCAGGAUGUGCAAACAAAAUUCCAAGUUAGAAGUUAAUGCUGAAGUGGUGUAGUUUAAGCAACACGAUACAGAAACUUUUUGUCAUGAAUAACUGUAUACAAAACAUAACAGUAUUAAAAUACAUAUCUUCAUAAAAAUAGUCACGACGCUUCGUAUCUAAAUAAGACAUUUUUAGAAAGAUGGUAUGAAAUACUUAUUAUACAAAAGCACUUUCUUGUAGCAGGAUCACAAGGUCAUGUGUCUUUAAAAAUUCCAUCCAAGCACUUAAAAGUAGAUUUCUUUGAUAACUGAUCCACUUGUCAUGUAAAAGCGUAUGCUGUGCAUACACCAUAGCAUUAAGUUUAUUCUACUUGAAAUCUAAGUAUAACACUGCAUGUAGAGCAGCUGAGUCCUAAUAUACCACUGAAUCUUGCUCGAGAAGAUAAACAUCACAAUUGUUUCUUAGUACAGAAAAUUAGUUUUUUAUGCACGUCUGCUAUAUGCAUAUACCAAAAAUAACGUCCCUCUACAAUCUUCCCUUGCCACAGUUUGACCUCUCCAUAGGCUUUUGUCAGCUAAAGUCAGCAUCCUCUCCUCCCCACCCCAUUAGCUCCUCACUGACCCUACUGCUGUAAGUAAAAAUUAAAACCUAAAAAAUCAAAAAUAUAUAUUUAUAAAAAUUUCUGACAGAAGCUGACAGCGGUCUCCAGCUGAAACAGUCUGCAUAUCAGCUAACUACUGCAAUCACUGAUGUUAAACCUGUAUUAGAACAUCAGUCUAUUCACUGUGAUGAAUACCAUUUAUACUAGUGAGCCACUUUAAAUCCUGAAUGUCAGCAGUUUAAAACCACAAAUUGGUAUACAGUUACUUGAUAUUCAUUUAAGGCAUGUGAGUAAAAGCACCCUAAUUAACUAAGAUCAAAUGGAAGCAAUUUCUCUUCAGGAAACAUUUGUGAACUGCCUACUCUUCUUUAAAGAUGCUAAAUUAAUAUAGUCUUUGGAAAGAGGAUCAGAAGGUGGAAGGAAGAUAUAGUUAAGAACCAUUGUGAUUAUUUCAGCUGUCCCUGAAACAGUUUGAUAAGCUGUUGAUGGUUUAGCAGUAAAAUACCCCAGUAUAACAUGUACUGACCAAGUCACACAUUAUGCCAGUCUGGUUUUUUAAAAAAGGAAAGCAAUCAGAUACUACAUCAACAGGACAGUACAGGAUCAAUAUUGCUUACCCCUGAGUUAACAGCAUUGGGUAUAGCAGCACCGAUUAGAAAACAUUCUGCAGUGCCAGCACUGCACUGUGGUCCUACACUGUGGAAUUGCUUCACAUGCCCACAGAUUUUUCUUUAAGAGCACUUAUUGCAAACAUUAUUAGACACAGGAAUUCCUUUAGUUGCACUGGUACUUAAGUGAGAAAAACAGUGAGAAUGUUACAGUGGACCAUACCGGUAGAGAAGUCCAUUUGUAGUGUUACUGUACUGUUUAGAUCUUUGUCCCGAACUUCGUAAGCCACUGUCUUCUGUCAUACUACAUCCACCUGUUUCCUGCACACACACACACACACACACACACACACACAGAAAUCACGCUGUGCCAGUUUUGAGCAAGAUGUCCUGCAGGUCAUCUGGCAGUGCGAGUAUGAUAUCACGGAUGUGCGUCUGCAGCUUUUUCAGUGUAUCAGUUUUCACAGGAAGAUGUUCUCUGUCAGCCUGCAGCUGCAAAAGGUACAACAGAGCAUGACUUCUGCCAAAAAUGCCAGCUUACCUCAAAACACACCCAAAUGACAUAUUAGCAAAUGCAGAAAAUGAAUUCCUCUUUUUUUAAUAAAGUAAAAUGUGACCCGCUUGGUCUGGUCAGGUUUUCUCAAUAUUCACCUACCAGCAUGAACCAAUGCUCAGCUGGACUUUCAGCAAUCACAGUAAAGUUUGGUUCUCUGCUUCUCUGAGCAUCCAGCCUUGCUCCCACCCAAAGCAGUCACAGAGUUCUAAGGGGUUUUAACAAAUCAAGAUCUGUGCAAUGCUAACACAACUGGCUGAGCUGAGAAACUGGCUAACUUCUCAGGUUGAAGUGUUUUGCUUUAGAAUAAUCAAAAUGACUGAUUUAUGGAACCUAGAUCUCAAAAAACAUUUUCAUUAAGUACCUGUAAACUCAACUAUUUAAUACCUCUACCCUGUUUUUUAACCAUUUUUAGCCAUAUUCAAUUCACUUACCAGUUUAUUCUUUAACUUCAAGACCAGAUCGACUGUUUCUACUUCAGUAUGCUUCUGACUCCAGAAAACCAAAUUCUAACAAAAGUAAAAAUUAAACACUGAUGUAUUUAUUGUCUAUUUGCUGUGGUACCCACUCAGUUCAUACCUUAAAAGUUGUAACACGCUUUGAGCUGUGAUAUAGUUGUGAGAAAUAAAACAUCAAGGAUGGAAAUUGAAUGAGAUAACAUUAUAAAUAUGAUGAAAAAAGUAAAAUUGAAAAUAUUAUUUCCAACCAAAAAAAUACUAGAGAUGUUUUACACGUGAUCAAUCAUUAUACAAAAGUAAACUUCAUUUCAUAUUGCCCUUUUUUUUAAUGUUAGUCCUAGGCUGUACUUGGUUAGCUAACUCAUGUUUUGCCAGAACGUACUUGACAAAAUUCUUGACAUUUUUAUGUUUAACCAAUGGAUGCAGCAGGAAUUGAUAACCAUAACCACCCAUUUUUCUAACCUCAUUACAGAGUGCUUCUAAAUGAAGUGCCUCCAACUUCUGCGUCAUUUCUUUUUGCCGGCUUCUAAACCAGCCAUCAAAGUUUGGUGAUUUCAAAAAAUGCCUGAA